rnacentral:rRNA from 1 species
CGUGAGGGAAAGGUGAAAAGAACCCCGGGAGGGGAGUGAAAUAGAAUCUGAAACCCUAUGUUUACAAGCAGACAGAGCGAUUUAAGGCGCGAUGUCGUACUUUUUGUAGAACGGUCCAGCGAGUUAUAGUGUAUGGCAAGGUUAAGUUUUAAGUAAGGAACGGAGCCGAAGCGAAAGCGAGUCUGAAUAGGGCGAAUUAAGUCAUGCGUUAUAGACCCGAAACCGGGUGACCUAUCCAUGGUCAGGAUGAAGCAAGAGUAAAAUCUUGUGGAGGUCCGAACUGAUUGUCGUUAAAAAGGCACCGGAUGAACUGUGGAUAGCGGAGAAAUUCCAAUCGAACUCGGAGAUAGCUGGUUCUCCUCGAAAUAGCUUUAGGGCUAGCCUUGGAGGAAGACGAAUGGAGGUAGAGCACUGAAUGAGGUAGGGGCCUAACCAGGUUACCGAACUCUAUCAAACUCCGAAUGCCAUUCGUUAAUAUCCAGGAGUCAGACUACGGGAGCUAAGUUCCGUGGUCAAAAGGAAAAGAGUCCAGAUCGUCAAUUAAGGUCCCAAAUGGAUAGCUAAGUGGAAAACGAUGUGAUUUUGCGUAAACAACCAGGAUGUUGGCUCAGAAGCAGCCAUUCAUUAAAAGAGUGCGUAAUAGCUCACUGGUCGAGUGAAGUUGCGCGGAAAAUUACCGGGGCUAAGUUAUCAACCGAAAUUGCGGAUUUGUAAUUUAUUACAAGUGGUAGAGGAGCAUUCUAUUGUAGGAUGAAGUCAGAGCGUGAGCACUGGUGGACGAGAUAGAAGAGAGAAUGCUGGAAUAAGUAGCGAGAGCAGGGUGAGAAUCCCUGCCGUCGAAAGUCUAAGGUUUCCUGGGGAAGGUUCGUCCGCCCAGGGUUAGUCAGGACCUAAGGAGAGGCCGAAAGGCGUAUCUGAUGGAUAGCAGGUUGAUAUUCCUGCACUAUAUAAUACUUAAAAGAUGCAACUGACGCAGAAGUGGAAGGUGAGCAAGGAAAUGGAAAAACUUGUUCCGCAAGGGGGAGUGAAAAUAAAGUAACGAAGCACCAAGAAGCACGCUGACGAGAAAAGGUUGUAGAUCUUGUAUUAUAUACUUGUACCGCAAACCGACACAGGUAGAUGAGGAGAGGAUCCUAAGACGAUCGGGAGAAGCAUUGUUAAGGAACUCGGCAAAUUGACCCCGUAACUUUGGAAGAAGGGGUACUGGUGUAACAGCCAGUCGCAGAGAAUUGUCCCAAGCAACUGUUUAACAAAAACAUAGGUUUCUGCUAAAUCGAAAGAUGAAGUAUAGGAGCUGACGCCUGCCCAGUGCUGGAAGGUUAAGGGAACGUGUUAAUAGUAAUAUGAAGCACCGAACUGAAGCCCCAGUGAACGGCGGCCGUAACUAUAACGGUCCUAAGGUAGCGAAAUUCCUUGUCAGGUAAGUUCUGACCCGCACGAAAGGCGUAAUGAUUUGGGAGCUGUCUCGACAAUGUCCCCGGCGAAAUUGUAGUACUAGUGAAGAUGCUAGUUACCUGCGACAAGACAGAAAGACCCCAUGGAGCUUUACUGCAGUUUGAUACUGAGUCAGGCUAAUUUAUGUACAGGAUAGUUAGGAGGCUUUGAGGCUUAAGCGCCAGCUUAAGAAGAGCCAACGUUGGGAUACUAACCUUAAAUUAGUUUGAAUCUAACUCGUGAUCGUAAUCCGGUCAGAGGACAAUGUCAGACGGGCAGUUUGACUGGGGCGGUCGCCUCCUAAAGAGUAACGGAGGCGUUCAAAGGUUCCCUCAGCGCGGACAGAAAUCGCGCAAUAGAGUGUAAAGGCAGAAGGGAGCUUAACUGGGAGACUAACAAGUCGAGCAGAUACGAAAGUAGGACUUAGUGAUCCGGUGGAUUAUGAAUGGAAAUGCCAUCGCUCAACGGACAAAAGUUACCCUGGGGAUAACAGGCUUAUCUCCCCCAAGAGUUCACAUCGACGGGGAGGUUUGGCACCUCGAUGUCGGCUCAUCGCAUCCUGGGGCUGUAGUCGGUCCCAAGGGUUGGGCUGUUCGCCCAUUAAAGCGGUACGCGAGCUGGGUUCAGAACGUCGUGAGACAGUUCGGUCCUUAUCUGUCGCAGGCGCAGGAUAUUUGAGGAGAUCUGCCCCUAGUACGAGAGGACCAGGGUGGACGAACAGAUGGUGCAACAGUUGUUCUACCAAGAGCAUAGCUGUGUAGCCAAGUUCGGAAUGGAUAAACGCUGAGAGCAUCUAAGUGUGAAGCCAACUCCAAGAUAAGAUAUCCCAUACCGUUAAGGUAGU